rnacentral:rRNA from 1 species
GCCGCGUGAGUGACGAAGGCCCUCGGGUCGUAAAACUCUGUUAUCAGGGAAGAACAAGUGCUAUUUAACUGAUGGCACCUUGACGGUACCUGACCAGAAAGCCACGGCUAACUACGUGCCAGCAGCCGCGGUAAUACGUAGGUGGCAAGCGUUGUCCGGAAUUAUUGGGCGUAAAGCGCGCGCAGGCGGCUUCUUAAGUCUGAUGUGAAAGCCCACGGCUCAACCGUGGAGGGUCAUUGGAAACUGGGAGGCUUGAGUGCAGAAGAGAAGAGCGGAAUUCCACGUGUAGCGGUGAAAUGCGUAGAGAUGUGGAGGAACACCAGUGGCGAAGGCGGCUCUUUGGUCUGUAACUGACGCUGAGGCGCGAAAGCGUGGGUAGCGAACAGGAUUAGAUACCCUGGUAGUCCACGCCGUAAACGAUGAGUGCUAAGUGUUAGGGGGUUUCCGCCCCUUAGUGCUGCAGCAAACGCAUUAAGCACUCCGCCUGGGGAGUACGGCCGCAAGGCUGAAACUCAAAGGAAUUGACGGGGGCCCGCACAAGCGGUGGAGCAUGUGGUUUAAUUCGAAGCAACGCGAAGAACCUUACCAGGUCUUGACAUCCCGCUGGCCGGUCUGGAGACAGGCCUUUCUCUUCGGGGACAGCGGUGACAGGUGGUGCAUGGUUGUCGUCAGCUCGUGUCGUGAGAUGUUGGGGUUAGUCCCGCAACGAG